ACGAACGCUGGCGGCGUGCCUAAUACAUGCAAGUAGAACGCUGAAGGAGGAGCUUGCUUCUCUGGAUGAGUUGCGAACGGGUGAGUAACGCGUAGGUAACCUGCCUGGUAGCGGGGGAUAACUAUUGGAAACGAUAGCUAAUACCGCAUAAUAGUAGAUGUUGCAUGACAUUUGCUUAAAAGGUGCAAUUGCAUCACUACCAGAUGGACCUGCGUUGUAUUAGCUAGUUGGUGGGGUAACGGCUCACCAAGGCGACGAUACAUAGCCGACCUGAGAGGGUGAUCGGCCACACUGGGACUGAGACACGGCCCAGACUCCUACGGGAGGCAGCAGUAGGGAAUCUUCGGCAAUGGACGGAAGUCUGACCGAGCAACGCCGCGGGAGUGAAGAAGGUUUUCGGAUCGUAAAGCUCUGUUGUAAGAGAAGAACGAGUGUGAGAGUGGAAAGUUCACACUGUGACGGUAUCUUACCAGAAAGGGACGGCUAACUACGUG
rnacentral:rRNA from 1 species